rnacentral:tRNA from 3 species
GCCGCUCUAGCUCAGUUGGUAGAACACCGCAUUCGUAAUGCGGGGUCGCGUGUUCGAGUCCAUGCAAGCGGCACCA